AGCUUCCUUUCCCUCCUUUCCACAGUUGAUUUCAAACAUAUUCCCUCCUAAGCACCCUGUGUGCAGAAGGCUGUUUCAGAGUAAGCUUCUUGGAGAACCCAGUCUGUUACGUGGAGGCAUCCAUGUGGAAAUCUGAGGAAGGACAUUUCCCUGCAGAAGAAAUAGUACUGACUCUUCAAAACCAGAGGCUAUGCGGUGAGAAGACCCAACCACACUGAGAGACAGGAUGGAGGUGCUUGAGUCGACAGCUACAGCUGAACUCUCAGAGGAUGGCCAGAGCAAACUGCUGGCUGUCUUGGACAUCCUAUCCAGCCGAACCUUCAAAUAAUUGUAGUCCAGCCAAUAUCUGGACCUCAACUGUAUGAGGGUCUCUAAGGAGAACUACCCAACUGAGCCCUGCUUGAAUUACUGACACCUCACAUUGUAACCAAUAAAUGGUUGUUUUAAGCUGCUA